UGAAUACGAGAUGCUACGGCGUCGAAGCAGUGUAUGUCAGACUUCCAAGAAAAGCUCGCAAUGUCAUAAAUAAAGAAUGCCUGUACCAUAACCGACACAGGUGGGUAGGUAGAGUAUACUAAGGGGCGCGAGAUAACUCUCUCUAAGGAACUCGGCAAAAUAACUCCGUAACUUCGGGAGAAGGAGUGCCUUCUUUAAGAAGGUUGCAAUAACAAGAUCCAAGCAACUGUUUAUCAAAAACACAGGUCUCCGCUAAGUCGUAAGACGAUGUAUGGGGGCUGACGCCUGCCCAGUGCCAGAAGGUUAAAGAAGUUGGUUAGCUUUUGCGAAGCUGAUGACUGAAGCCCUGGUGAACGGCGGCCGUAACAAUAACGGUCCUAAGGUAGCGAAAUUCCUUGUCGGGUAAGUUCCGACCCGCACGAAAGGCGUAAUGAUUUGGAUACUGUCUCGGAGAGGGACUCGGUGAAAUAGACUUGUCUGUGAAGAUGCGGACUACCUGCACCAGGACAGAAAGACCCUAUGAAGCUUUACUGUAACUUGAAAUUGAAAUUGGACUUUAUUUGCGCAGUAUAGGUGGAAGGCGUUGAAAGUAAUCUUGCGGGAUUAGUGGAGCCAUCAGUGAGAUACCACUCCUAUAAUGUUAGAUUUCUAACUUUGGAUCAUGAUCUGGUCAAAGAACAGUUUCAGGCGGGCAGUUUGACUGGGGCGGUCGCCUCCCAAAUGGUAACGGAGGCGUACAAAGGUUUCCUCUGAACGGGUAGAAAUCGUAUCUAGAGUGUAAAGGCAUAAGGAAGCUUGACUGUGAGACCUACAAGUCGAGCAGGGACGAAAGUCGGUCUUAGUGAUCUGACGGUGCUGAGUGGAAAGGCCGUCACUCAACGGAUAAAAGUUACUCUAGGAUAACAGGCUGAUCUCCCCCAAGAGUUCACAUCGACGGGGAGGUUUGGCACCUUGAUGUCGGCUCAUCGCAUCCUGGGGCGGUAGUACGUCCCAAGGGUUGGGCUGUUCGCCCAUGAAAGCGGUACGCGAGCUGGGUUCAUAACGUCGUGAGACAGUUCGGUCCAUAUCCGGUGUAGGCGUUAGAAUAUUGAGAGGAGCCUUCUUUAGUACGAGAGGACCGAGAAGGACAUACCUCUGGUGUACCAGUUAUCGUGCCAACGGUAAACGCUGGGUAGCUAUGUAUGGAGAGGAUAACCGCUGAAAGCAUCUAAGUGGGAAGCCCACCUCAAGAUGAG
rnacentral:rRNA from 1 species